GGAGUUCAGAUGUGUGCCCUUGCCCGGACCCCUCCUGGCGGUCGAGGAUUGUGGCGACAACCGACGCCCAGUGCACACCAGUGAGUUCAUUGGGGGCCUCCGAGGAGACGCGAUUCGAUCGACCCCGGAGGGCACAAUGGUGCAACGCACUC